rnacentral:rRNA from 1 species
UACGAAGGGGGCUAGCGUUGUUCGGAAUUACUGGGCGUAAAGCGUGCGCAGGCGGCUGCUCAAGUCAGGGGUGAAAGCCCAGAGCUCAACUCUGGAAUUGCCUUUGAGACUGAGUGGCUUGAGUACGGGAGAGGUGAGUGGAAUUCCCAGUGUAGAGGUGAAAUUCGUAGAUAUUGGGAAGAACACCGGUGGCGAAGGCGGCUCACUGGCCCGUAACUGACGCUCAUGCACGACAGCGUGGGGGAGCAAACAGG